rnacentral:ribozyme from 11 species
AGACAAACAGACACAGCAGAGCAAGCAAGGAGAGGAUGAAGUCAGAGAAAAAGGAAAAACAUUGACACCUAUAAGUGCCCGCCUAAUCAAAAAUGGUUCUGCAUUGUUUCCAUUCUGCUCGACCCGCAUUCAUCACAAGGCCAUCUGCUCCCAUCUUUUCCUUCCCUCUUCUUUCUCCCAUCACGCCAUACAAACAAACAAUCGAGACUACAAAACGCUGCAAUGAAUGUGCAGGAAAAGAAGCCAA